CCAGACUCCUACGGGAGGCAGCAGUGAGGAAUAUUGGUCAAUGGGCGGAAGCCUGAACCAGCCAAGUCGCGUGAGGGAAGAAGGCCCUGCGGGUCGCAGACCUCUUUGGACGGGGAGCAAGGCCGCCGACGUGUCGGCGGAAGGAGAGUACCCGUAGAACAAGCAUCGGCUAACUCCGUGCCAGCAGCCGCGGUAAUACGUAGGGGGCAAGCGUUAUCCGGAUUUACUGGGUGUAAAGGGAGCGUAGACGGCAUGGCAAGCCAGAUGUGAAAUACCGGGGCUCAACCCCGGGACUGCAUUUGGAACUGUUAAGCUGGAGUGUCGGAGAGGCAGGCGGAAUUCCUAGUGUAGCGGUGAAAUGCGUAGAUAUUAGGAGGAACACCAGUGGCGAAGGCGGCCUGCUGGACGAUAACUGACGUUGGGGCUCGAAAGCGUGGGGAGCAAACAGGAUUAGAUACCCGAGUA
rnacentral:rRNA from 1 species